GGGGAAUUUUGGACAAUGGGGGCAACCCUGAUCCAGCCAUCCCGCGUGUGCGAUGAAGGCCUUCGGGUUGUAAAGCACUUUUGGCAGGGAAGAAACGACUUGGGCUAAUACCCUGGGUUAAUGACGGUACCUGCAGAAUAAGCACCGGCUAACUACGUGCCAGCAGCCGCGGUAAUACGUAGGGUGCAAGCGUUAAUCGGAAUUACUGGGCGUAAAGCGUGCGCAGGCGGUUCGGAAAGAAAGGUGUGAAAUCCCGGGGCUUAACCUCGGAACUGCACUUUUAACUACCGGGCUAGAGUACGUCAGAGGGGGGUAGAAUUCCACGUGUAGCAGUGAAAUGCGUAGAGAUGUGGAGGAAUACCGAUGGCGAAGGCAGCCCCCUGGGAUGAUACUGACGCUCAUGCACGAAAGCGUGGGGAGCAAAC
rnacentral:rRNA from 1 species